GAUGAACGCUGGCGGCGUGCCUAAUACAUGCCAGUCGAGCGAACGGACGAGAAGCUUGCUUCUCUGAUGUUAGCGGCGGACGGGUGAGUAACACGUGGAUAACCUACCUAUAAGACUGGGAUAACUUCGGGAAACCGGAGCUAAUACCGGAUAAUAUUUUGAACCGCAUGGUUCAAAAGUGAAAGACGGUCUUGCUGUCACUUAUAGAUGGAUCCGCGCUGCAUUAGCUAGUUGGUAAGGUAACGGCUUACCAAGGCAACGAUGCAUAGCCGACCUGAGAGGGGGAUCGGCCACACUGGAACUGAGACACGGUCCAGACUCCUACGGGAGGCAGCAGUAGGGAAUCUUCCGCAAUGGGCGAAAGCCUGACGGAGCAACGCCGCGUGAGUGAUGAAGGUCUUCGGAUCGUAAAACUCUGUUAUUAGGGAAGAACAUAUGUGUAAGUAACUGUGCACAUCUUGACGGUACCUAAUCAGAAAGCCACGGCUAACUACGU
rnacentral:rRNA from 1 species